UACGUAGGGGCAAGCGUUGUCCGGAUUUAUUGGGCGUAAAGAGCGUGUAGGCGGCCAGGUAGGUCCGUUGUGAAAACUGGAGGCUUAACCUCCAGCUGUCGAUGGAAACCAUCUGGCUAGAGUCCGGAAGAGGAGGGUGGAAUUCCUGGUGUAGCGGUGAAAUGCGCAGAUAUCAGGAAGAACACCCGUGGCGAAGGCGGCUCUCUGGGACGGUACUGACGCUGAGACGCGAAAGCGUGGGGAGCGAACAGG
rnacentral:rRNA from 1 species